UGGCUUAGACACCUACUAGAAGAUGACUAGCCAUAGAACAUGGAGCACCUUCUCUCUGUAUUCCCAAAAGCUAAGCAGAAAAGCCAUGCUGUAAUCAGAGAAGAUGCUUUCUUGAUUUUACCAGAACAAGGAUUGUCCUUAGUAAAUUGUUCUUCCUUCUCCACAUCAAAUAAAAAAAAUUCCUCUAUCUACUCUGGUGUAGAAAGUAGUGAUUGGUGAGAAGACAAACCAAAGAAAUGAUAUCAAAGAAGGAGCCAAACUCACAAAAUAUACCGUCUCCAACAAGUUAUCUCCCCUCAGACUUUACUAGCUGUGAGAAUACUUUACUCAUUGAAGCCCCAGAGAGACCAUCCACACUUGAUGCUCCAAAUUGAGCAGUAGAAACGCUAAUAUCAACAUUGCUGAAAUUGUUGAUUUGUGUGGAGAAAGCUCACCAAUCAUGUUAGUGCUGUUUUCUUCAGGAUCACCAGGAACAACUACCUCUUGAAGUUGAAGAGCAUACUCAAGGUUCCACAAGACAUCUCCCAUAGAAGGCCUGUCAACGCCAAAGUCAGCUAAGCAUUUCUCAGCAGUUUCACCAAAUUUCCUAAGAGAAUCAGGUCUUACUUUCCCCACAAGUGUAGGAUCUAUUAUUUGCUCCAACUGCCCUUUUUUCUGCCACUUCAUUGCCCAUUCUGCUAAGUUCACCAUUUCCCUUGGAAGGGUUGGAUCUAUAACAGGUCUUGCACAAAGAACCUCAAACAAAACCACCCCAAAUGAAUACACAUCUGAUUUCUCUGUUAGUUGUUGCCUUCUGAAAUAUUCAGGAUCAAGGUACCCAAAACUCCCCUUCACUGCUGUACUCACAUGGGUCUGAUCAAUUUCAGGUCCUGUCUUUGAAAGCCCAAAAUCAGCAACUUUGGCCAUUAGAUUCUCAUCAAGCAAGAUAUUUGCAGACUUCACGUCACGAUGAAUGACUGCUUUAGCAUAGCCAGUGUGAAGGUAAUGAAGUCCUCUAGCUGCUCCAAUACAUAUCUCAAGCCUUUCCUUCCAACUCAAGCUAGGACGACCUGAGCCAUAGAGAUGACCCUUGAGAGUCCCAUUCUCCAUGUAUUCAUAUAUUAAGAUCAUCUCAUUUUUUUCAUCACAGUACCCAAUUAAUGAAACUAGAUGGCGAUGUCGGAACUGGGAUAGCAUCUCAAUUUCAGUCUGGAACUCUGCUAGUCCCUGUUGGGAGCGCGGAUUUCCCCUUUUAACAGCCACCUUUGUACCGUCAUUCAAAGCUCCCUUGUACACCUUCCCAAAACCACCAAUACCGAUAACCCAACUCUCAUCGAAGUUGUUUGUGGCCUCUUGAACUGCCACAAAAGGAAUGCGAUAUCCCAAAUUAGAAUCAACACUAACAGUUGUUCCAUUAGAAUACUUACUGCCCACAGUGUGAGAAUGUCCCCCACUAAUAGAUAGAGGAAUCCAUGUCUUUGAAUAGCCUUGACGUGCCAGCUUUUUCCUUUUUCUGCACAACAUAAAGAUAAUUGCAGCCAACACCACAGCAAUAACUGCCCCAAAGGUCAAGCCAACUAUCACGCCAACAUUCUUCUUAGAACUUGAAUCAGAAAGCAAAGAUGCUGACCUACUGAGGCUCCCCAGGGAAUUGUUCAUUUUCAUUAUCUCCAGCCCAUUUAGAAUGGCAUUGGGUGAGACAUUAGGAAGGGAGCUUGGACCAAUACUAACAAGAAGCUUAUUGUUCACAGUUAAUG
rnacentral:misc_RNA from 1 species